UCAUAACGUUUACUAUUUGUGAAGAGGAGACUUGAUUUACUUGAGGGAAGGUUACAGCUUCAUAUGAACUCCCAGGAGAUUUCUCCUCUUCUCUAGUGCACCAAGUUUCAGAGAGGACAACUGUGGACUUCCCAUAUACUCAAAGAGGGAGAAACUGAAGACCAGAGAGGUGGUGUGACCCCCUGAGGCAACACAGUGAUCAGUGGUAAAGCUGGGACCUAUCCCUGCAGACCUGACUUCCUCCAGACCACACCCUGCCCCACAUGGUCAUCCCAACUCCACAUGAGGUACCUCUCUAGACCUGGCUUACUGAGGAUGCAUCCCUUUCCCCAGCAGGUAUGACCCAUUAUCCACACCAUGCCUUC